CUCUGUGACUCUUACGGGAGGCAGCAGUGGGGAAUAUUGCACAUGGGGGAAACCCUGAUGCAGCCAUGCCGCGUGUGUGAAGAAGGCCUUCGGGUUGUUAAAGCACUUUCAGUUAGGGAGGAAGGUAGUGUAGUUAACACCUGCACUAUUUGACGUUACCUACAGAAGAAGCACCGGCUAACUCCGUGCCAGCAGCCGCGGUAAUACGGAGGGUGCGAGCGUUAAUCGGAAUUACUGGGCGUAAAGCGCAUGCAGGCGGCCUGUUAAGUCAGAUGUGAAAGCCCGGGGCUUAACCUCGGAAUUGCAUUUGAAACUGGCAGGCUAGAGUCUUGUAGAGGGGGUAGAAUUUCAGGUGUAGCGGUGAAAUGCGUAGAGAUCUGAAGGAAUACCAGUGGCGAAGGCGGCCCCCUGGACAAAGACUGACGCUCAGAUGCGAAAGCGUGGGGAGCAAACAGGAUUAGAUACCCUGGUAG
rnacentral:rRNA from 1 species